GACGAACAUGGAAGAACGGAAGAUGUAGAGGCACUCAAACGAUUAAAAUAUCUAUUACGGAAUCAUAGCAAUGUUAAAUAUAGGAAACUGUAUUAUCGAUCACAACUAAAGUCAAUCAGUUCAGUAACACCCUCUAUAGGAAGAACAUUAAACUAUAAUAUUUGAAUUACAAAACACGUUACCUUUUGUGAAAUUAUCAAAGCACGUAGAUUUAACUAUUUAGAAAGAAGCAUUAUUUAUUUAAGUUUCAGAAUAAAAAUGAAAAUCGGAA
rnacentral:lncRNA from 1 species